AUUGAACGCUGGCGGCAGGCCUAACACAUGCAAGUCGAGCGGAUGAAGGGAGCUUGCUCCUGGAUUCAGCGGCGGACGGGUGAGUAAUGCCUAGGAAUCUGCCUGGUAGUGGGGGAUAACGUCCGGAAACGGGCGCUAAUACCGCAUACGUCCAGAGGGAGAAAGUGGGGGAUCUUCGGACCUCACGCUAUCAGAUGACCCUAGGUCGGAUUAGCUAGUUGGUGGGGUAAAGGCCUACCAAGGCGACGAUCCGUAACUGGUCUGAGAGGAUGAUCAGUCACACUGGAACUGAGACACGGUCCAGACUCCUACGGGAGGCAGCAGUGGGGAAUAUUGGACAAUGGGCGAAAGCCUGAUCCAGCCAUGCCGCGUGUGUGAAGAAGGUCUUCGGAUUGUAAAGCACUUUAAGUUGGGAGGAAGGGCAGUAAGUUAAUACCUUGCUGUUUUGACGUUACCAACAGAAUAAGCACCGGCUAACUUCGUG
rnacentral:rRNA from 1 species